AACGAACGCUGGCGGCAUGCCUAACACAUGCAAGUCGAACGAGACCUUCGGGUCUAGUGGCGCACGGGUGCGUAACGCGUGGGAAUCUACCCUUUGGUUCGGAAUAACAGUGAGAAAUUACUGCUAAUACCGGAUGAUGACGUAAUUCCAAAGAUUUAUCGCCCAAGGAUGAGCCCGCGUAGGAUUAGCUAGUUGGUAGGGUAAAGGCCUACCAAGGCGACGAUCCUUAGCUGGUCUGAGAAGAUGAUCAGCCACACUGGCACUGAGACACGGCCCAGACUCCUACGGGAGGCAGCAGUGGGGAAUAUUGGACAAUGGGGGAAAAUCUGAUCGAGCGACGCCGCGUGGAGGAAGACGUACUUCGGUAUGUAAACUCCUUUUGUAGACUAGUAAAUUUUGAACAGUCUAAGAAUAAGAGGUUGCUAAACUCGUGCCAGCAGCCGCGGUAA
rnacentral:rRNA from 1 species